CACUCCUGCAGCCACUCCACUAAGGGAAAUUUUAAAAUAAUAAUAAAUAGAAAAAUUAUAGCCAAUUUUUGUUGAUUCAUUAAAAAAGUAUGGCCAGAGGCCCUAAUACAUCAGCAGGCCCAUGGCCGACCAAAAGCUUCCAACUGAAGAUUUAAAUUCUACAAGACAAACUAAACCCAUUGCAAAUUAACCUUAAUACAGCAUGGAUCUUGGACUCGAAUCCAUGGUCCAGAGGAUCAUCGCCAAAAAACCAAGAAACGGCUAUAUGCCUGCAAGGAGUUUCCCAAAAUAAUAACAACCCAAGGGAGAUGGAAAUACAACUAGAAACCCAACAACACCAGUGAAAUAUCGUGAUGGAAAGACUAUCAACAGCAUUGGGGCAGAAGAAAAACUUUUUUGCUAAAAUCUCAUGAUGGACUGCUAAAUCAAACACACAAAAUUUUAAAAAAAAAUCAACACCCAAUCUUCAGAAACAAACGGGAUCUACCUUUGAUACUAAAAUUGAAGAAAAAAGUAGAGUUCCAUCUUGGUCAACAACACUACUAAGUGUCAGUAGAGACCUUGAGAAUACUAUCCUCUCUCGUGUCCUCUCAAAAGGCUAACACCACCAAGCAGAUCCAUAUAGACCAACUCUUCCUAAAAACCACCUACAUGCAAUCCAUUCAAAAGCAUAUCAACAAUAUCCCUUACCCACUAAGCACCAGAUCUACCUUAAAAUCAUAGAGAAAGAUUAUUUAUUACGAUCCCCGUCCGGAGGUGAGGAGGGAGAGACUCACUCUCCAAGCAAGGAGGGAGAAAAUUGUCCCCUGCCUAAAAGGGGCAGAAUACGACGAUGACUUUGGCAAAGAAAGUAAUAUAGACCCACAAAAAUGAAACUACCAAGAGAACUUUCAAGAGAAAGGGACUAUAAGGUCAUUGAAAUUAUAGCAAAAUUAUUGUAUGUACAGGGAUGGAGAAAUAUACAGUCAAAUAAUACUACUUAAUUAAAAAAAAUCUCCAUACAUAUUAUAUUAAAUUACCAAUAUGAUGAGCCAUUCAAAUUUUUAAAAUAUUAUUAUAUUUAAUAAAUUUAAAUUUAUUAUCUUAUUUUAAUAUUUUGAAAAAUAAACACCUAAGUUUACACUGUUAGAGCAUUUUAUUUAAAUUUAGUAUAUUAAUAAUUAUUAUACUUGACUUGUAAUAUAUAAAAAAUUGAACAUAUUUAUUAUUUUACUUGUAAAAUUAACGUUUAUAUUAUUUAUUAUAAUUACAAGUAUUAAAAGUGUAUUUUUUAUGAUGAAUUGUGAAAACUCAAUUGUGAAAUUAAUGAUAAAUAUGAUUAUUUGAUUACAUAUAAACUUGGCUAAGGGCAAAACUGAGAACGGCCCAUAUCAAACUUGAAACCAACCCUGGUCAACAAUUCAAGACCUUGAGCUGAGAGUUUGAAAAUAAAACUAACCAGUGUGAACCAAAGGAAUCAGCCCUGUUCAAAAACUUAUUUUCUUUUCUUUUUUUUAAUUUAUAUUGAGCUUAAAUUUGAGUUUUUAUUUUUUACAUUAAAAAUUAAAUUAUUUAUUUAUAGUUUGAUGAUUCUAAUGGCCGAACUGGAACAGCUUCAAACUAAAACUGGACUGAACUAUGAAGUCGACCAAACCAAUGAUUUUGACUAGAAUUAGCCGUGGCCAUGUCUAAUUAUAUAUUGAGAAAGAUAUGUUUGAUAAUCUUUAUAAUGAAUCAAUCAUACAAUACCUACAGAAAAUGUAAAUUCAUGGAGAAUGGUUAUAAGUUUAAUAUUAUAAUAAUAAUUUAUUAUUUUACAAAACAUAUUAUUCUUAUAUAUUGAAAAUUUACAUAGAUUUAGAUUUUUAUUUUUUUAUUAAAUAAUUUAUCAUUACAUAUAAUAUUUUAUUUUCCUUUAAAUUGUGUAAAAUAUAUAUUUUUUUUUAUCUCAUUUGUUCAAUUUCCUAACUAUGUACCAAGAAGAAUAAAAAUUAGUACUCCUCCAUAAAGACAUAAUUAUAGUUAUUUUUUAAAAUUAAAACCAGUAAAUCUAAUAUUUUACGAAAGGUGGAACAAGUGAUUUAGAAACACAAAAUGAUAAUAAUUUUAAACAAUAAACUAAUCCAUCAAACGAUAAAACUCACUAUUUCAAUGUAAUAAAUGAAUAGAUAGACCAUAUAUUGGUCCUAAUCGAAAUUGAAGUAUUCUAUUUUUCAUAAUAUAUAAUCUUUGACGCAGAGAGAUUUAAUUAUGCAUUAAAAAGAGCAAUUUAAAACCAAAAUAAAGAAAACAAAAAGAGUGUAUAAGUGAAGAAAAUAUAGUUAACUGGAGAACCAAAUUUAUACCUGUACUCAUCAUGAAGAUCACCGAUUAUACUGUUCAAGAAAUCUUCACUUCAACUCGACGUGAGUAAAUGGUUUUAAUUCAGUGAUACUUUGUUUCUCCUUCUGAUAAGUUUUCGAUGGCAUGAAAUUUUCCUCCUCAAUGAGAAUGUUGGUGAUGGUGAUCUUGAUAAUGUGGAGUGGAGGCUAUCCACGUGUAUCCAUUUUUUGCAAAAUUUAAAGGGAUAAAAAAAAAAUGAAUAAAAGAUGAGAACUUUGAAAAAAUAGGCAACUUAUGGUUGCCACGGCCUUUUGCCCACCAUGGAGCCUAAG
rnacentral:misc_RNA from 1 species